rnacentral:rRNA from 1 species
AUACGUAGGGGGCGAGCGUUGUCCGGAAUGAUUGGGCGUAAAGGGCGCGUAGGCGGCCUGUUAAGUCUGGAGUGAAAGUCCUGUUUUCAAGAUGGGAAUUGCUUUGGAUACUGAUGGGCUUGAGUGCAGGAGAGGUUAUCGGAAUUCCCGGUGUAGCGGUGAAAUGCGUAGAGAUCGGGAGGAACACCAGUGGCGAAGGCGGGUAACUGGACUGCAACUGACGCUGAGGCGCGAAAGUGUGGGGAGCAAACAGGAUUAGAUACCCUGGUAGUCCACACUGUAAACGAUGAAUGCUAGGUGUAGGAGGUAUCGACCCCUUCUGUGCCGCAGUAAACACAGUAAGCAUUCCGCCUGGGGAGUACGGUCGCAAGAUUAAAACUCAAAGGAAUUGGCGGGG